AGGUUUGCUCAGUGGCAGUAUUGGAGCCCAUGAGGUUUAUCUAAGGUAUGAUUAUUGCUAACUGAAAACUUCCCCCAAUACCCUGCUGUGACAACUUGCAGUAUAGUCAGCAUUGGUAAUUUUUGACAGUCUCUAUGGAGA
rnacentral:snRNA from 1 species